AGUGAACGCUGGCGGUAGGCCUAACACAUGCCAGUCGAAUGGCAGCACAGUAAGAGCUUGCUCUUACGGGUGGCGAGUGGCGGACGGGUGAGGAAUACAUCGGAAUCUACUUUUUCGUGGGGGGUAACGUAGGGAAACUUACGCUAAUACCGCAUACGACCUACGGGUGAAAGCAGGGGAUCUUCGGACCUUGCGCGAUUGAAUGAGCCGAUGUCGGAUUAGCUAGUUGGCGGGGUAAAGGCCCACCAAGGCGACGAUCCGUAGCUGGUCUGAGAGGAUGAUCAGCCACACUGGAACUGAGACACGGUCCAGACUCCUACGGGAGGCAGCAGUGGGGAAUAUUGGACAAUGGGCGCAAGCCUGAUCCAGCCAUACCGCGUGGGUGAAGAAGGCCUUCGGGUUGUAAAGCCCUUUUGUUGGGAAAGAAAAGCAGCAGGUUAAUACCCCGCUGUUCUGACGGUACCCAAAGAAUAAGCACCGGCUAACUUCGUG
rnacentral:rRNA from 1 species